rnacentral:tRNA from 1 species
CGUCAGAUAGCUCAGUGGUCUAGAGCAGUCGCUCGGCAAGCGAAAGACCCGGGUUCGAUUCCCGGUCUAUCGA